UCGUGCAAAAUUCUUAAUUUUCUAGGGGGGAUUGUUUUAUAUUUUAAGCGAAACAGAUAUUGUGGAUUUUAAUGUCGUUGGAGAAAGGAAGUAGAAAGUAAUUGCGGAGAAAUUAACGCCUGUAAUGAGGUGCUGAUUUUGCUUUGUGUUUGUCACCAGGUAGAAUAGCAUGUAGAUCUGCAUUAAAGAAUCUCUUCUGUAUUCUUGUAGAAUCUGAAAGCACUUCAAAGCUUUUUUCUGCAGGUGGAUUACAUUCUCAGAGACUAUGGACUGGUAAAAGAGUGUUUACUGGUGAGAACAAGACGAAGACAUCCAAGUCUGGGAAUAUUAAUAUGAGAAAACACCUGUAUCUGUGACAAAACAUACAACAAAUAACCUGUUAAAAAGCAUUGAUCAAAAAACACCAAUGUGAUAUUUUGUCUAGAUGUUCAGGAUAAAGUGUGAAAUAAAUUGAAUGCAAAAAAAAAAAAAAAAA